GACUGCUGCUUCAGCUGAAUCCACACGAGAGAGGCCAGGUCCUCAGAUAGCCUGGUAGGAAUACAAGGGCUGUGCUCUCUGAAGCAUCAGGGGUGAGCUUGCCACUCAGAAGCAGGAAGAACUGUUCCAAUCAGCUUUCUUUAUGAGAGAGACACAUCUGGCUGGAGGUGCUGGUUUUUCUGCUUGACAACCCUGAGGCCUGGGCAUACUUCAAAGGUGCUUCAGGAAGCUUGAUCAGCAUGUUUCAGCUAGUCAGCUCCUACCCCCAGGGUCUAUGGACUUUUAUUUUUGGAGUGGUAUAAUGGAUUCCUAAGACUCUGGAUGACCUCACAUUCGGGGUGUUUUCUUGGGGGCAGAUUGGCUAUUCAAGCCAAAUGGAAAUCUGGACAUCUCAGGAAACUGGUUGAUAUGCUGGGGAGGCAGAUUCAUAUCACCAACUUCCUUGUCUUGGAAGAUGGUGGGCUGGUUGCUGUGGCUUGUCAUCAGUCCUGCUGUCUCACUCUGCAUUGCUGCUAUGCGUGGCCAAGCCAUGACAGAAUGUGGGCUGAAGAGGCUUUUCCAGCAAUGCAGGGAUGUUCUUCAGGUACUCAGCACUGCCACAUUAUAGGACACCUCUGCUCUCAUUGCCAGGGGAAUCUUGUGGAUUGGAUUUGAAUGUUUUUUUCCCCUAUCUUUCCCAUAACUCCCCAUGAAACAGUAUUUAAUUAGCAUGGGAUUGCAUAAAAAAUAUAGGAUGUUGAAUGAGUACUACAUUCACUUGGCAUAAAAAAUUAACAUGAUAUAAAAAGAUAUCAUUUGAGAAGUCUCACUCUAACCCAUGUUGUAUUAGUUUCCAAGGACUGUUGUAACAGAGAAUCACAAACUGAGUGGCAUAAACAUCAGAGAUGUAUUGUCACACAGUUCCAGAGGCUAAAUCUGAGAUCAAGGUCCUGACAGGGUUGGUUCCUUCUGUGGGCUGUGAGAGAGAACCUGUUCCAAGCCUCUUUUCCAUCUUGUGGUUUGUGGGCAAUCUCUGGCAUUCUUUGGCUCGUAAAGCAUCACCUCAGUCUCUGCCUUCAUUGUCUUCACAUGGCGUUCUCCCUGUGUGUGUGUUCCUGUAUCCAAAUUUUCCCUUCGUAAAAGGAUAACAGUUAUAUUGGAUUAAGGGCUCACCCUACUCCAACAUUCUCUCAUCUUUCAUGCUGAGGCACUGGGAACUUCAAAAUAUAAAUUUUGGGGAUCACAGUUUAGUCCAUAACACAUAUUUUACAUGAUAUUUUAAUGUCUGAUUAGACAUUUGUGCAGGCACAAGACACUUUAUGAUUGUCUGAGCAUAGUCAGUAACUCUGAUACAGACAGGAGGCAAGGAAAUACUGGGUAGAAGAGGGGACUUCCCCAGCAAAUGCACUACCCUCAAGACUGGAAACCCACAGACCUAGAUGGGAACAGGUAUUCCUGUUUUCACACCCAAGUGUUCCCUUUUGGCCUGCCGUGGCCUCCCAUCCUGUACGCAUGUAAACCUCAAACCCCAGACUCCACAAGCAGAUGAGCAGAGAAACAGAAGAGCGGCACAGCAGAGAAGGAGUGUCUGAGUGUUGAGAGGAGUUCAGCUGGAGAUGGUCAAAGAGGAGAUUGGUUGUGGGAUGGCCAAACUCCAGGGGAAGAUUAUCUUCCCACUCCAUUCCCUUUCCAGCUCCCCUUGCAUCCUGCUGAGAGCCACCUCUACCACUCAAUAAAAACUCCUGAAUUAACA
rnacentral:lncRNA from 13 species